UCUCCGUAGGUGAACCUGCGGAGGGAUCAUUACAGAGUUCAUGCCCUUCGGGGUAGAUCUCCCACCCUUGUGUAUUUAUACCUUUGUUGCUUUGGCAGGCCGCUUCGGCCACCGGCUUCGGCUGGUGCGUGCCUGCCAGAGGACCCCAAACUCUGAAUGUUAGUGUCGUCUGAGUACUAUAUAAUAGUUAAAACUUUCAACAACGGAUCUCUUGGUUCUGGCAUCGAUGAAGAACGCAGC
rnacentral:misc_RNA from 1 species